rnacentral:rRNA from 1 species
UACGGAGGGUGCAAGCGUUAUCCGGAUUCACUGGGUUUAAAGGGUGCGUAGGUGGGCUAGUAAGUCCGUGGUGAAAUCCCCGAGCUUAACUCGGGAACUGCGUCCGAUACUGGUGGGCUUGAAUCCGGGAGAGGGAUGCGGAAUUCCAGGUGUAGCGGUGAAAUGCGUAGAUAUCUGGAGGAACACCGGUGGCGAAGGCGGCAUCCUGGACCGGCAUUGACGCUGAGGCGCGAAAGCUAGGGGAGCAAACGGG